UGAAGGGGCCCUAGAAGGAGUUGGGGAGGUCCUGGGGGUGUUUAGGGGCGCACUGGAAGUGUUUGGAUGGGUGUCCAGGGGGUGUUUGGGGGGAGCCCUGAGGCGUUUUGGGGGGGGGCCCCUGGGGGUGUUUGGGGGGUACCUUUUUGGGGUCCCCAGGCUCCGGAGGCGCCUCAGGCUUCCCGCCCUCGCUGAGGCGGCAGCUCUCAGCCAAUCAAGGUGCGGCUGCUGCCCGCCCCGCUUCCUGAGUGGCUGCCACUGCCCGCCUCCAGCCAUCACCAGCCAAUCAGGGGCGAGGGUUUUCCCGCCCACUGCCCCCUCCGCCGCUUUCCCUCCUCUCCCCAAUGGCGGCGCUCACGGGCCGCGGCUGAGGCGUUGGAGACCCGCCGCCGCCUCGGGCACGCGUCGCAGCCCUGCUGCAGCCUCCCCGUCCCGCCCACUACCCCGUUUUCACCGCUUUUUCGCGUUUUUCUCUCGGUUUUCUUCUUCUCUUCGGUUGUGGGGCCCGGGGGGCAGCGCUGUGAGCAGAGGCGUCCCCUCACGGGGGCUUUCCCCACACGCGCGGCCGCCAUGUUGAGGCCAGAGAGGUGCCGCUGGUUUGCAUUUGUAUUCUCCUUUACAGUUACCCUCCCCCAGAAAUAACCGCGGGGGUGGUCUCUGGCUGAGGGGGGGGGGGCUAGAAGGCGUGCAGAAGCCACCGUUUGGGGAAUUGCAAACCUCUGAAAACCCGAAUCUGCUGGGUUUGGUCCUGAGCCGCAGGCUGUGGUGCCUGGCUAAGCCGCAUUUGUCGUUUUGGGGAGUGAAAAGCUGAGAAAGGCAGAGAGGGAGCGGGUGAGAAAGGAGGUCACCUUGUGCUUAGGGUGGUUUUCUUCGCUUUUGCUUGUCCUGGGUUAUUUGUGGCUGCGUUUGCCGGCUGCCACAGCUGCUCGUCCGUGUGCUCCUGCAGGGCAGCCCCAGCCUUGGGGAGCCAAAAGUUGUGAUUCUGGGGGCGGAAAACAGAAAGCAAAAGCUGGCUGUGCCAUUUCCAGCCCUCCGUGUCCAUACCCAGCACCAGCUCUUCUGUAGCUUUUCCCAGUCAGCAAUGAGUGGAGAAGCCCUUUCUUGACCCGUUUUGCCUCCACUGAACAGGGCUUUGCUUGGCGGUAGGAAUACGUAGAGAAAUGUUCAGGAUGUGCAACCAUUUUCCCUAGAAGGGAUAGGGGGGUGGGGGAGAUUUCCACGUGCUGCUGGUGGCGUCGGUGUCUUUGCGCCUGGGUUGGCAGUGACGCUGGGGUUAAAAAGCGAUGUUGAAGAAGUGCAGCAGGUGAGAGGCGUGUGCUGUGUUGUGUGAUUUUGAGGGAAAAACUUCCCGAAAGCCCAUCACGUGGCUGGGUCUGCCCUCAGUGCUGCUGAUGGGCUCCCUGGGGGCAGUGGGGACCUUCUCUGGGUCCUGGGGGUCCCUGGGGACAGCAGGACCCCUGGGUGGUGGUGGCAGGACGUGGUGUCUGCCCCCAGUGCUGGGCCCGUUCCUGCCCCAGACCAUCGGUGAGUGUCCUGAGGUCCCUGUCCCCGGUGUCCCAGGCCACCUGGGUCCCUGGAGGGCUGCACUGCCCUCGUGUGUCAGCAGUUUGGGGUCCCCCAACUGGGAGGUGCUGGGGGAAGCUGUGGUCGAUGGAGCCGUUGGGGUGGGUGACACAGCUCUGCUGUGGCCAGGCAGGGUGACGGUGUCGCCAGCGUCACCAGGCGCUGGUCCCCCCUCAGCUGUGCUCCCAGACACCUCCCAGCCCGGAGGUCCCUGCGUUCGGGUUCUGGUUUAGGGUUAGGGCAGAGGUUAGUGCUAGGGGUAGUGGUUUGGGAAAGGGGUUGAGGGGCAAAGUUCUGGGUUGGGGAUUAUGGUUUGUGACUAUUUCUUCAGGAUUUCGAGUUGGAGUGCAAGAAUACGGGUUAAGUUUGGGGUUUAUGCAUGGGGUUAAGGGUUCGGGUGAAAGGCUCGAGUUCUGUUUUGGCAUUGAGGGAUGGCAGGUAUCCUGAGGGGAGGGGUUAGAAGGUGUAGGACUGGGUUUUGGGUUGAGAUUCUGGAUAGGGCUUCCUGUUGGUGGUUAAGGUUUCUGGUUUGGGUUUAGGCAUGUGGUUUGGAUUUGGGGUUGUUAUUUUGAGUUUGGGUUAGCAGUUAGGGUUGAGGAAAGGUAGGGCCUGGGACAGUUAAGAACGAAAGGUGACGGGUGAGCUCAUAGAAGGAAGCAUUCUGGCACUGGAGCCACGGCCCCAGCGCUGGCGAACUUGAUACGGAGCCAUUUUGCGCCCUCUGCCCCCCAGGGGAAAUCUUAGGUUGACUUUUUAAAUGUUUUGCAGCCUGGAAGUUGUCCCCAGAAGGUAGACACGCGCACACCCCCCCAAAAGGAGAUGCCCAUCUCCUCCGUGGUGCUGAGGCAGCAGCACGUGGAAAGCAAGGGACUGGGCUCCGGUCCUCCAGCGAUGGUUCAGGUUCCGUUGUGAAAGCGCAGCCCAGCAGGAUGGAAAUGGUGCUCUCUUUUUCUCCCCAGCUGCCGUCGCAUCCUCUCCUUUCCCCUCCAGGGAUGUGCAGGUUUUCUCCACGUUGCUCUGAGGGCAGCUUCCCAGCUCUUGUCCCAGCAAGGGGAGGUUCCUGGCUGUGGAGGCCGUGGAGAAGGUCCCUCAGCUGGAAUCAUCCCUGUGAUGGUCCCUGUCCCAGCGCAAGUUUGGGCUGAUUGCAGUGCCACGGCUGGAAAAUCUUCAUGCUCAUGGUGUUUAGACUACGUCGUGGACAGACGAGGAGUUGGUCGUCUCUGGCAAGAGGUCGUUGCGUUUUCCUCCAGUAUCUCGUAGUCUGCUGUCAGAUGGAUUUCUGUGAAGGGAGUGAGACUCUGAGCAAAAACUGCUACAGGUUUUUGGGGCUCUUUGCCCACACGCGGACCCCGUGGAUGGCUUCAGGUCCCGCCGUUUCCCUCCCUCUGCUCACCCCAUCCCCAGACCUGGCCAGCAGCAGGGUUCAGCUCUGCCAGGCCCACCCACAAAGCCCCUCUCUUCCCACCCGGCCUGGAAACCAGCACCCAGCUGCAAACACACACUGUCCUCUCGGGCCAAGAGCAGCCUCCUGCUUUGUUAGGCCUUCUAAAUGCUGCCAAAUAACGUGUGUCUGCAUGUGUGUGCCUGGUGUGUCUGCGUGGCAACAGAAGGGAACUGGAGGGACUUGAGGCUAGCCAUGGAGGAGCCCAAGGUUCUGCUUGGAUCGAGCCAAGCCCCGGCUCAAAACUGAGAUCUCGUUGGAGAGGCCCCGCUGUCCCCAGAACUACUUGCCUCCAAGGCUUGAGCCCCCAAAGGAACAGGGAUGUGGAUCACGCACCUGUUUUGCCAUCUCUGACGGCGUUCUUGCAGCUCCAGGCAAUCAAAGCUCGGCUCACCGUGGAAGGGGCCGCAGCGUCGAGAGCCUGGGUUUGAGCUUUGGCUUUUGGCGAUUGAUAGAGCCGGCCCCUUGGUCUGUCCAGGUCCCAGACACAGAGGUGUUGGUGGGCUCCUUGGGCGGUCUGGCUGUAAUAAGAUAAGGGCCCCGCUCCAUGUACAGAGGUUUGAACUUUGGCAUUUUCUGCUCCUUGGGCGGACUUACUCUACUACCUUUGGCAAUGGCGUCGAGGGCCUGAAUAGGAGCUUCGGUGGUUGAUGUUGAGCAGAGCUGGCCUCCUGGUCCAUCUCUGUCCCAGUGGUAGAGGCAUCGCUGGGCUCCUUGUGCAGGCUGGCUCUAAUACCUAGAGGCAACGGCGUCACGAGCCUGGGGAGGAGCUUUGGCAGCUGAUGCACAGAACUUGCCCCCUGCUGUGUCACUGUGCCAGAAGUAGAGGGCUUGGAAUUGGAUGCUUCCGUCUUUGGGCGGUCUGGAAGCACGGACCAGAACCUCUCAGUCUGUAAGUUCGGCAGUCUGCCGAAUGGGGAGUUGUUUCCCAAAAGAGGGGUAUUUUUCCCCAUAAGGGGGAAAUUUCCCCAAAAAGGGGGACACUUUUCCCCAAACAGGACGAGUUGCUCCCAAAAAGGGGGAAACUGUUCCCCGAAAAGGGGGAAUUGUUAUCAGAAAUGGGAAACAACUCCCCAUUUUUUUCAGAACAAGUCCCAUUUUGGGGGAGCAAUUCUCCAUUUUUGUUAAAAGUUCCCCCUUGUUGGGGAACAAUUUCCCCUUUUUAGGUAACAAUGCCCAUCUUUUGGGGAAAAUUCCCCUUUUUUUUGUGAAGAAUACCCCAUUGUUUGGAAACAAUUCCCCCUUUUUUGAGGGCAACUCCCCUUUUUUGGGAACAAUUCCCUGUCUUUUGGGGAAAAUCUCCCCAUUUUGGAGGAACAAUUCCCCCUUAUAAGGAAAAAUCCCCCCUUUUGGGGUACAACUCCCCACUUUUUGUUUACGAUUCCCCCUUAUUUGGGAUCAGUUCCCCCUUUUGGGAAACAACUCCCCAUUUGGGGGAAAUAUUCCCUUGUUUGGGGAAAUUUCCCCCUUUUCUGGGAAAAUUCCCCUGUUUCGGGGAAAAACUCCCCCUUUCUGGGUAACAACAACAUACUUUUAGGAACAAUUCCCCCUUUUUGGGGAACAAUUCCCCUUUUUUGACAACAAUUCCCCAUUUUUGAUAACAAGUUUUGGGGAAAAACACCUCUGUCUUGGGAACAAUUCCCCCUUUUUUGUAACGAUUCCCCUUUUGGGGAACAAUAAUAGGGGUGUGUAAUGGGAUGGGGGGGCAAUAGGGUACUUAUUGGGGGGGUUAUGGGGUAGGGGGGGCAACAGGGGGACAAUUGGGGGGUAAUUGGGGUGGGGGGGGACAUAAGGGGAGGGUUAUUAGAGGUGAAAUGGGAUGCAGGGCAACAGGGGACAACGGGGGGGCAAUGGGGUGGCUGAAGCCCCUCUCCUGGGGCCAAAUGCCCCGGGGGGGCCCCCCCACACCUCUACCUGCCCCCCCUUAUUGCCCCCCCUCCAUGUAGCCCCCCCCAGCGUGCUCUGGGCCCCUGGGUGUUUGUGCUGUUUGGCUCCCUGCUGGCCGCCUUCGCCCUCUUCACCUUCCUGCGGCUCCCCGAGACGCAGGGGCGCCCCUUCAGCGACGAGGGGGGGGCAGCGACCUCCCCGGGACCCCCCCCUGCUGCUGCUGUCCCCUUGGGUGGGGGGGGGGGGCGACGAGGAGCCCGACUGAGGGAUGCCCCCCCAAAAAAAAAUAAUAAAGGGGGGGGAUCAUAGGAGAGACCCCCCCCAAAAAAAUAAAGGGGGGGGUUAAAGGAGAGCCCCCCCAAAUAAAAUUUAAUUGGGGGGGAUCUCAAUUGGGGCUCCCCCACUGUAAAAAGCUUCAAGGGGGGGUAUUGAGACCCCCCCAAAAAAAAUAAUUGGAGGGGGGGGCUUAAAUGAGGCCCCCCCACACCAUAAAUGAGUGGGGGUGACCCAAAUGAGCCCCCUCCUCAAAUAAAUUUAUGGGGGGGUUUCAUUUGGGGUCCCCCAUCAUAAAAAAGUUGAGGGGGGGCCCCAAUGAGACACACGCCCACAAAAAAAUGUUAAGGGGGGGCCUCAAAUGAGCCCCCCCCCCAGAAAGAAAUGGAGGGGGGGGGGCCCAAACGAGGGCCCCCCCAAGAAAAUAUUUUUGGGGGAGCCUUAAAUGAGACCCCCCCACCAUGAAAUAUUUAAGGGGGCCACAAGUGACCCCUACCCCCACCCAAAAUAUGGAAGGGGGGACCGAAGGAGCCCCCCCCCAAAUUAAAUAGAGGGGGUGCCCCAUUGAGACCUUGACACCCUCCCUGCCCCCAUAAAAAACUCGAGGGGGGAUCUCAAAUGACCCCCCCCCCAGAAGAAUUUGGGGAAAUCCCCCCAAAAACCCGCUCAUGACCCUCACUUUGGGACCCCCGCCCCCGCAAAGAAAAAGCCCCAAAACCGGGGGAAAUUGCCCCAUUUUGGGACCCCCCUCCCUCAAAAAAAAAAAAAA